GCCCUACACAGGUGGCUCUCACCUGUAAUCCAAGCUACCUGGAGGCUGAGGCAGGAGGAUUGUUUGAGCUCAGGAGCUCUGAGCUGCAGUGGGCUAUGUUGACCGGGGGUCCACACUAAGCUCAGUAUAGAUAUGGUGUUCCUGGGGGAGCCUGGGGCCACCAGGUCGUCUAAGGAGGGGAGAACCAGCCCAGGUCGGAAACAACUUAGUGUAUAAAGCAAUAUUUAUUAAUAUAAUCCCAACAAUAUCAGUCAAAAAUAACUUCUCAUUUUU
rnacentral:sRNA from 1 species